rnacentral:lncRNA from 1 species
UACACUCCAAGAGCAAUUCCUCUGCCCUUCCACGAUCAAAGCCAAGCUAAAAGGUAACUCAGGAAAUCAACCAAAAAAAGGUUGUGUAAAUGAGAGAGGAAGAAGAAGAAGAAGAAGAAGAAGGUCUUGUUAGUUAUGAAUUUUAUUUCCUUUCUUUUGGGGAAGACCCAAUUGGGCACCUCCCAAGCAAUAGUAAUCAUCAUUACUUGUUGGUAUUCUUUCACGUGGUUGGUGGCUUAAGUUGAGAGAGAUUGGCUACCAUAUUUCUG